GGAGAGGUGACCGAGAGGCCGAAGGUGCGGCACUGGAAAUGCCGUGUACGCUAACCCCGUACCGAGGGUUCGAAUCCCUCCCUCUCCG
rnacentral:tRNA from 1 species